UACGGAGGGUGCAAGCGUUAUCCGGAUUCACUGGGUUUAAAGGGUGCGUAGGAGGGCAGGGAAGUCAGUGGUGAAAUCUCCGGGCUUAACUCGGAAACUGCCGUUGAUACUCUCUGUCUUGAAUCCCGUGGAGGUGAGCGGAAUAUGUCAUGUAGCGGUGAAAUGCUUAGAUAUGACAUAGAACACCAAUUGCGAAGGCAGCUCGCUACACGAAGAUUGACUCUGAGGCACGAAAGCGUGGGGAUCAAACAGG
rnacentral:rRNA from 2 species